GAUGAACGCUGGCGGCGUGCUUAACACAUGCAAGUCGAACGAUGAAGCCCAGCUUGCUGGGUGGAUUAGUGGCGAACGGGUGAGUAACACGUGAGCAACCUGCCCCUGACUCUGGGAUAAGCGCUGGAAACGGCGUCUAAUACUGGAUAUGUCCCGUCACCGCAUGGUGGGCGGGUGGAAAGAUUUUUCGGUUGGGGAUGGGCUCGCGGCCUAUCAGCUUGUUGGUGAGGUAAUGGCUCACCAAGGCGUCGACGGGUAGCCGGCCUGAGAGGGUGACCGGCCACACUGGGACUGAGACACGGCCCAGACUCCUACGGGGGGCAGCAGUGGGGAAUAUUGCACAAUGGGCGAAAGCCUGAUGCAGCAACGCCGCGUGAGGGAUGACGGCCUUCGGGUUGUAAACCUCUUUUAGCAGGGAAGAAGCGAAAGUGACGGUACCUGCAGAAAAAGCACCGGCUAACUACGUGCCAGCCGCCGCCGUAACAC
rnacentral:rRNA from 1 species